rnacentral:rRNA from 1 species
UACGUAGGGUGCAAGCGUUAAUCGGAAUCACUGGGCGUAAAGGGUGCGUAGGCGGGUCUUUUAAGUCAGGGGUGAAAUCCUGGAGCUCAACUCCAGAACUGCCUUUGAUACUGAGGAUCUUGAGUUCGGGAGAGGUGAGUGGAACUGCGAGUGUAGAGGUGAAAUUCGUAGAUAUUCGCAAGAACACCAGUGGCGAAGGCGGCUCACUGGCCCGAUACUGACGCUGAGGCACGAAAGCGUGGGGAGCAAACAGG